AAUACAUGCAAGUCGAGCGAACAGACGAGGAGCUUGCUCCUCUGACGUUAGCGGCGGACGGGUGAGUAACACGUGGAUAACCUACCUAUAAGACUGGGAUAACUUCGGGAAACCGGAGCUAAUACCGGAUAAUAUAUUGAACCGCAUGGUUCAAUAGUGAAAGACGGUUUUGCUGUCACUUAUAGAUGGAUCCGCGCCGCAUUAGCUAGUUGGUGAGGUAACGGCUUACCAAGGCAACGAUGCGUAGCCGACCUGAGAGGGUGAUCGGCCACACUGGAACUGAGACACGGUCCAGACUCCUACGGGAGGCAGCAGUAGGGAAUCUUCCGCAA
rnacentral:rRNA from 1 species